GGCGUAAUGAUGGCCAGGCUGUCUCCACCCGAGACUCAGUGAAAUUGAACUCGCUGUGAAGAUGCAGUGUACCCGCGGCAAGACGGAAAGACCCCGUGAACCUUUACUAUAGCUUGACACUGAACAUUGAGCCUUGAUGUGUAGGAUAGGUGGGAGGCUUUGAAGCGUGGACGCCAGUCUGCGUGGAGCCAACCUUGAAAUACCACCCUUUAAUGUUUGAUGUUCUAACGUUGGCCCCUUACCGGGGUUGCGGACAGUGUCUGGUGGGUAGUUUGACUGGGGCGGUCUCCUCCCAAAGCGUAACGGAGGAGCACGAAGGUUAGCUAAUCCUGGUCGGACAUCAGGAGGUUAGUGCAAUGGCAUAAGCUAGCUUGACUGCGAGCGUGACGGCGCGAGCAGGUGCGAAAGCAGGUCAUAGUGAUCCGGUGGUUCUGAAUGGAAGGGCCAUCGCUCAACGGAUAAAAGGUACUCCGGGGAUAACAGGCUGAUACCGCCCAAGAGUUCAUAUCGACGGCGGUGUUUGGCACCUCGAUGUCGGCUCAUCACAUCCUGGGGCUGAAGUAGGUCCCAAGGGUAUGGC
rnacentral:rRNA from 1 species